UACGUAGGGCGCGAGCGUUGUCCGGAAUUAUUGGGCGUAAAGAGCUCGUAGGCGGCCUGUUGCGUCAAUCGUGAAAUCCUGUGGCUCAACUACAGGCUUGCGGUUGAUACGGGUGGGCUGGAGUUCGGUAGGGGAGACUGGAAUUCCUGGUGUAGCGGUGAAAUGCGCAGAUAUCAGGAGGAACACCAAUGGCGAAGGCAGCUCGCUGGGACGUGACUGACGCUGAGACGCGAAAGCGUGGGGGAGCAAACAGG
rnacentral:rRNA from 1 species